rnacentral:rRNA from 1 species
AUUGAACGCUGGCGGCAGGCUUAACACAUGCAAGUCGAGCGGGGUGAUGGUGCUUGCACUAUCACUUAGCGGCGGACGGGUGAGUAAUGCUUAGGAAUCUGCCUAUUAGUGGGGGACAACAUCUCGAAAGGGAUGCUAAUACCGCAUACGUCCUACGGGAGAAAGCAGGGGAUCACUUGUGACCUUGCGCUAAUAGGUGAGCCUAAGUGGGAUUAGCUAGUUGGUGGGGUAAAGGCCUACCAAGGCGGCGAUCUGUAGCGGGUCUGAGAGGAUGAUCCGCCAAACUGGGACUGAAACACGGCCCAGACUCCUACGGGAGGCAGCAGUGGGGAAUAUUGGACAAUGGGGGGAACCCUGAUCCAGCCAUGCCGCGUGUUUGAAGAAGGCCUUAUGGUUGUAAAGCACUUUAAGCGAGGAGGAGGCUCUUUUGGUUAAUACCCAAGAUGAGUGGACGUUACUCGCAGAAUAAGCACCGGCUAACUCUGUGCCAGCCGCCGCCGUAA